rnacentral:rRNA from 12 species
AGGAGGCAUACCCGGGGAACUGAAACAUCUAAGUACCCGGAGGAAGAGAAAACAAUAGUGAUUCCCUAAGUAGUGGCGAGCGAACGGGGAACAGCCCAAACCGUAACAGUUACGGCUGUUGCGGGGUUGUAGGACUGCACUGUGGACUAUACAAACGAAUCGGAAUGGUUUGGGAAAGCCAAUCAAAGAGGGUGAGAAUCCCGUACGAGUAAAGUUGUAUUACCUAGCAGUAUCCUGAGUAGGGCGGGACCGGAGAAAUCCCGUCUGAAUCCACCGGCACCAUCCGGUAAGGCUAAAUACUCCUGAGAGACCGAUAGUGAACUAGUACCGUGAGGGAAAGGUGAAAAGUACUCCGAACAGGAGAGUGAAA